UUUUCUAGAACAAAUUACUCUGAUUUUCUUGGCAGUCCAUGGGUGUAAAUGUACACAUGCAACAUGGCUGGUACUUAUUACCUAUAUAGGUAUGGCCGGGUUGUAUUCAGCCCUAUUUUUCUUAUAAAGAUCAAGCAGCCAUGCUUUCAUAGUACAUAUAUGUGAUUAUCCAUGCACUCAUAGGUAUACAUGUAUAUAUACAAACAUACACGAAAGUCUAAAUAUCAAGUUAAAUUUCAAAAUUAUUUUUUAAUUGCUGUAUUAAAUUGUAAUGAUUUUGUGAAUGAACAAUUUUGUUGAGAAAGGAAAAGUUUAGAACAUUUUAAAAAUAAAUUUUCAGAGAAUGUAGAAAUGUGCAAAAAAAACCUUAAUGAUAUAAAAUUUACAACAUAUAAGAGUCUGAAAACUGUACCAGACAACUACUAUGUUAAAGAAUGAAUGUUCUUUAUUGAAAAAAAAAUUAUAUAAUUAUGAAAGAAAAACUUGACUCCCUUCCCACCCCAACCUUAUAAUUCACCAUCUAGAACAUCGUACUAUUUAAAAAAGCACAUAUUAGCUUCGAGGAGAAUGACAAUAAAACAAUAAUGUGGGAAGAAU